rnacentral:rRNA from 1 species
ACUGAAUAGAUACCCCGGUAGUCCACGCCCUAAACGAUGCAUAUUUGGUGUGGGCAGUUCAUUCUGUCCGUGCCGGAGCUAACGCGUUAAAUAUGCCGCCUGGGGAGUACAGUCGCAAGGCUGAGACUCAAAGAAUUGACGGGGGCCCGCACAAGCGGUGGAGCAUGUGGUUCAAUUCGACGCAACGCGAAGAACCUUACCUGGGCUCGAACGGCUGGUCAACGGAGGUGGAAACAUCUUUACCCCGCAAGGGGCCCAGUCGAGGUGCUGCAUGGCUGUCGUCAGCUCGUGUCGUGAGAUGUUGGGUUAAGUCCCGCAACGAGCGCAACCCUUGUCCUGUGUUGCCAUCAUUCAGUUGGGAACUCGCAGGAGACCGCCAGGGAUAACCCUGGAGGAAGGUGGGGAUGACGUCAAGUCCUCAUGGCCUUUAUGUCCAGGGCUACACACGUGCUACAAUGGACGGUACAAAGCGCAGCAAACCCGCGAGGGGAGCCAAUCGCAAAAACCGUUCUCAGUUCGGAUUGCAGGCU